rnacentral:rRNA from 1 species
AGGACGAACGCUGGCUGCGUGCUUAACACAUGCAAGUCGAACGCUGAAGCCCCAGCUUGCUGGGGUGGAUGAGUGGCGAACGGGUGAGUAACACGUGAGUAACCUGCCCCCGACUUCGGGAUAAGCCCGGGAAACUGGGUCUAAUACCGGAUAUGACCGUUCCUCGCAUGAGGGAUGGUGGAAAGUCUUUUCGGUUGGGGAUGGGCUCGCGGCCUAUCAGUUUGUUGGUGAGGUAAGAGCUCACCAAGACGACGACGGGUAGCCGGCCUGAGAGGGCGACCGGCCACACUGGGACUGAGACACGGCCCAGACUCCUACGGGAGGCAGCAGUGGGGAAUAUUGCACAAUGGGGGAAACCCUGAUGCAGCGACGCAGCGUGCGGGAUGACGGCCUUCGGGUUGUAAACCGCUUUCAGUAGGGAAGAAGCCACCUUCGGGGUGGUGACGGUACCUGCAGAAGAAGUACCGGCUAACUACGUGCCAGC